ACACUACGUUAUCAACAAAGCUCGACGAAGCCAUGCUAGCGCAGUGGAACGACCUGCUAUUUGUAGCGAUUAUUAAGUGUUUACACUGCUUAAAGUCUUUUUAAGGCAAUAUGCCAGGUCCCACAGUUCAGUGCGGGACUGCCACAACGGUACCCGUGGGCUAAAGAAGUGGAUGGAAGAGUUUUGCCCUAUUCACGAGUGCAAUAAAGGAACCUCGCGCUGUAUAUGUGACCCGCCUUAUGUACUCGUCACAUUUCCUACUGAAAGAAAAGAUCCAGAAUGUCGUGCCGAAUGGAUUAAAUUAGUUUCCCAGAGACUAUGGGUUGAGGAGGAAUUGGAAGUUUGUCGGCUUAGACCUGUGUCAUUCCAUCAGUGUUAAACUUCCCGGCUCAUCUUUGAAGAGUACGUGCCAGAAAGACCACGACCAAGCAGCCUUGAGAUCUUAGGCAGCGUCUCCCUGAGACCAAAGAACUACAGACUCUUCACAACCUGCUCAAACUCUUGGUACAGGACCUCACCACACGGGUCAAGAAGGUUUCCAUCUCAUUUCUACUCUGAAGCUCACCUUCUCCUGCUCAAACUGCUGACAAAUGUUUCUGCUGCUCUAAAGUCUGGUCUCCAGAACUUCCUAAAAACUCUCAAAUCUCUUCUGCUGCAGGUUGCUUUGUAGAACUGUUGCAGAAAACCUCACUAAACCACAUGGAGGGGCCUCAAGAUAGUCGUCCAAAUGAAACCAUACAAAAACCAAACUAGUACAACCCAAACGCUAAAGUCUCCUGCAGCCUACCAGAGAACCUCUGAGAACAGAGGAUCAGGACAGGAACUCUUACCUUCUGGACAACCACCGCUGGUUCACAAACAAGAAUACAGACUGUGUCUGACCAAAAACCUCUGAAGACUCACUACAGCCAAGAUAAAGACAACACAGCUGCACCAAAUCCGCUAAUCACUGCACACAUUAGCACCAUGUGCUAACUGUGGCUAAAGAACCUCAUUUACCAAGACAACGAUCCAGUACAAAGCCCUAAACCACACCAAGAAACACAGUAAAGACGAUUUUACUGCUGGAAGCUGCAAGCCAACGCCUAAAGAACAAACUAAAGCAAUGGAGCCAAACCCAGUUCACUGGUGAAGAGAAUCAGAGGAAAGGUUUGUCUACAGCUAAAUAAAGCAGGAAGACACUGAGCUGCUCAGGUGUUCCUGAUAAAACCAAGCAGCCACCUGGACAGCCAAUAGGAACACAGCUUCCUGGAAGUCCAGAGGGCUGGGUUAGUGAAGGAAAUUUAAUUUGAAGUUGAAGCAGAAAGUUAACAAAGAAAGUUGAAAACCACCUUCUGAUCCCUGAAAUCUCUGAGUUUUCACACAAAGAACACCUGAACAUGUCAAACUGGUUCCAUAGUAGAACCAUCAUUGUAAAAACGUCAUAGUAUGGUGUGUUGCUCAAAAAACAUUAGGACCCGGCUGUCAGGGGACAAACAUGUAAGAAACAUGAGAACAGAGAGAACCCAACCAGUAGGUCACAGUUUAUCAUCCCCCAGUCAUCUCCUGAAGUCCAUAUGGUGAGAGACAUCAGUAUCUGGUUGUUAAUUUACCAGAGGAUGCUUAUAAUCAUGAUGAUGUGGUCUGUACUCUACAGUAUUUUAGUGACUCAAUACAUGCCUAAGUUGUUUUUUUUAAAAUGCUUUUUAGUUUUUAAUAAACAUUUAAUAGCCUAUAUGUAAUCAAUAAAUGGCCUUUGCCUAUCUUAAGAAAAACUCACUCAGAAAUCUGAUAUGUUAACAGUACUAAAUAAAUCAAUAAAUACAUGCAUACACACAAAAAUAAGUUAAUACAUUAACUGUGUUAAGAUAAGAUUUAGAUUUUUUUAAAAAAGUUGUUUAUGUUUUUGCACAAUCCAGUAUUGCUCACUGGUUGGUCAUUACAUUUUGUUUAGUUUGAUUUCACUGUUUAAAAUGAUGCCACCUCUUUUCAGACAGAACCUGUGAUAAUAAAACAAUACAAAAUUUUUAGUUCCGUGUUAAUAAAGCACUUAAAGCUUUAAGUAUGGCUAAAUGCUUUUUUCAGAAUUAAAUAUAUCACUCCUUAGGUGGUAGUGGCCCCAAGUUCAGUAAAGUUGGAAAGAUAUUCACAGAUUCAGACUUCCAGCAUCAAUAACUCAUUAGAUAUAGGUUGUCAAAACAUAAACGGUGCCUCUUUCCCAUUGUUGCAAGGCAGACAAUGUGCUACAAGCCCAGUUUUAUCAAAAGUAGCUGUCUUUCAAGCUACAGGAAUAACAUUGGUGUCUAUGGAGUGAACAGGGUCCGUCUGCAAUUUGCAAAACCGCUGCAACAGUAAAGAGAGACAAAUAUUCAAUAACUUCACUCUUAUACAUUGUAGUGUCACUAAAAUCACUGCAGCCUUCAACUGGCUCCUGUUGACAAAGUGUUUUAACAGAAAUGUAAAUGCUGUAAUUUGAUUCUUUUAAUGAACCAUGUAACUUGAAUGGAUGUGAUGCUGGUGUGACCACAGUGCACACGUCUGAUGUUGCUCACAGUGGUCCAAGGGACGCUCAGGGAGUUUGUGUGUUUGCUCAGACUCAGGAAAAAUUACAGGGAACAUUGGUCCUCGCCUUACUAUGUGAAGUGUCUAGAGAUGAUACAUGUUGUGAAUUAGUGCUAUAUAAAUACAACUCAAUUGAAAUUAAAUUAAAGUGUAUCGUUUCUAUAUUUUAGAUUAUCCUUGAUGGCAUAAAAAAGGGUGGAAAAGGUACAUACUACAUACUAUUGUUUUAACCAGACGGAUGAACAAUUUGUUCUCACAGGCCAUCGCUCUAAUAAACAAUUAAAUCUAUAAUGACAGAAACAACUAUUUUUGUAUGAUUAACAACUCAUAACCACUGUAAAUACUGUAUAUUACAUAACUGUUAAUAUUUCAUUCUACAAACAUCGCUCUCUGCUCCAUUGCACUAUUGCAUUGAAAGUGUCAGUAAUCCUGCAUUUAUUGUUAACCUUAUCUAUUCCUAUCAUCAAAAUCUGCACAAUUUACACUAAAUGUUUGGUUCAGUGUAAACAUGUUCUUUUACACAUAUCUUUGGCUGUGAUAUUAAUCGAUAAACACUUACGUUCCUUUCUUUAAUCUGUGGGCCUGGUUUAAAUUCAUGUGUGCUUUUUGGUGUGAAUACUUUGACAGCAAAGAAAACAUUUUUUAUUCAUUGUACGUGUGCAUGUACUUGGCCAAUAAAGAACACCUGCCAUUGUAUAAUA